GAUGAACGCUGGCGGCGUGCCUAAUACAUGCAAGUCGAGCGAACAGACGAGGAGCUUGCUCCUCUGACGUUAGCGGCGGACGGGUGAGUAACACGUGGAUAACCUACCUAUAAGACUGGGAUAACUUCGGGAAACCGGAGCUAAUACCGGAUAACAUGUUGAACCGCAUGGUUCAACAGUGAAAGACGGUCUUGCUGUCGCUUAUAGAUGGAUCCGCGCCGCAUUAGGUAGUUGGUAAGGUAACGGCUUACCAAGGCAACGAUGCGUAGCCGACCUGAGAGGGUGAUCGGCCACACUGGAACUGAGACACGGUCCAGACUCCUACGGGAGGCAGCAGUAGGGAAUCUUCCGCAAUGGGCGAAAGCCUGACGGAGCAACGCCGCGUGAGUGAAGAAGGUCUUCGGAUCGUAAAACUCUGUUAUUAGGGAAGAACAAAUGUGUAAGUAACUAUGCACGUCUUGACGGUACCUAAUCAGAAAGCCACGGCUAACUACGUG
rnacentral:rRNA from 1 species